GCCUUUGUUGAUUAAUGGAUAUCACCUCAGCAUGAUUGAAUAUGGGAAACGUGCCAAUUGAGGUCACGGAGGUUCGAAUCCUUCCGAAGGCA